CCUCACUGCUAUCGGGGUGGGACUAAAACAUGCAAGUCGAGCGCCUCCAAGCUAUGGUGAAGGCGCGGCAUACGGCUCAGUAACACGUGGCCAACCUACCCUUGGGACGGAGACAACCCCGGGAAACUGGGGCUAAUCCCCGAUAGGUAAGGAAUCCUGGAAUGGAUCUUUGCUGAAAGGGCGUCUAGACCAUGCUUCUUGAUGUCGCCCAAGGAUGGAGCCGCGACCGAUCAGGCUGUUGGCGAGGCAACGGCUCACCAAACCUAUAACCGGUACGGGCCGUGAGAGCGGGAGCCCGGAGAUGGGCACUGAGACAAGGGCCCAGGCCCUACGGGGCGCAGCAGUUGCGAAAACUCCACAAUGCACGAAAGUGCGAUGGGGCUACCCCGAGUGCCGUCCGCUGAGGACGGCUUUUCCACGGUGUAAGGAGCCGUGGGAAUAAGGAGAGGGCAAGCCUGGUGUCAGCCGCCGCGGUAAUACCAGCUCUCCGAGUGGUGAGGACGAUUAUUGGGCUUAAAGCGUUCGUAGCCGGCUUAACAAGUCUUCCGUUAAAUCCAACGAUCUAAUCGUUGGGCCGCGGGAGAUACUGUUGGGCUAGGAGGCGGGAGAAGCCGACGGUAUUCUCGGGGUAGGGGUGAAAUCCUGUAAUCCCGGGAGGACCACCAGUGGCGAAGGCGGUCGGCUAGAACGCGCUCGACGGUGAGGGACGAAAGCUGGGGGAGCGAACCGGAUUAGAAACCCGGAUAGUCCCAGCUGUAAACGAUGCGGGCUAGGUGUUGGGGUGGCCACGAGCCACCUCAGUGCCGCAUGGAAGCAAUUAAGCCCGCCGCCUGGGGAGUACGGCCGCAAGGCUGAAACUUAAAGGAAUUGGCGGGGGAGCACCACAAGGCGUGAAGCUUGCGGUUU
rnacentral:rRNA from 1 species